AUGGAAACAUGGGAGUCAGUUCGGCUGGAUCGGUGACAGGUGCUGCAUGGCUGUCGUCAGCUCGUGUCGUGAGAUGUGGUUAAGUCCCGCAACGAGCGCAACCCUUGUCCUUAGUUGCCAGCAUUCAGUUGGGCACUCUAAGGAGACUGCCGGUGUUAAACCGGAGGAAGGUGGGGAUGACGUCAAGUCCUCAUGGCCCUUAUGUCCAGGGCUACACACGUGCUACAAUGGCCGGUACAAAGGGCUGCAAGACCGUGAGGUUGAGCGAAUCCCAGAAAGCCGGUCUCAGUUCGGAUUGGAGUCUGCAACUCGACUCCAUGAAGUUGGAAUCGCUAGUAAUCGCGGAUCAGCAUGCCCGCGGUCGAAUACGUUCCCGGGCCUU
rnacentral:rRNA from 1 species